rnacentral:sRNA from 1 species
AUAUUGUUAUAUUUUUUACCUAUCAUUUAUUCAUAAUAUUCCUAAAGAUCUAUGCGUUUAUAUGCUAAGAUCUUCUACCACAUGUAUAAAUAUGAAAACACUAUGUCAAUAAUAAUUAUCAGUUUAGCCAGGUUUCGAUCUUGGGACAUAUGAGUUAUGAGCCCACCACGAUUCCUUUUUCCAAUGUAUCUGCUUUAAUACAACUCAUAUUUGCAACUCACACUCUUGUUAUCGUGUUCAAUAUUGGCAUAAAUACUUCCAUUACAAUUUUUAGAGGUAAAUUAAGUAAAACAAAUUGAAUAAAAAC